GAUGAACGCUGGCGGCGUGCUUAACACAUGCAAGUCGAACGAAACACCUUAUUUGAUUUUCUUCGGAACUGAAGAUUUGGUGAUUGAGUGGCGGACGGGUGAGUAACGCGUGGGUAACCUGCCCUGUACAGGGGGAUAACGGUCAGAAAUGACUGCUAAUACCGCAUAAGACCACAGCACCGCAUGGUGCAGGGGUAACAACUCCGGUGGUACAGGAUGGACCCGCGUCUGAUUAGCUGGUGGGUGAGGUAACGGCUCACCAAGGCGACGAUCAGUAGCCGGCAUGAGAGAGUGAACGGCCACAUUGGGACUGAGACACGGCCCAAACUCCUACGGGAGGCAGCAGUGGGGAAUAUUGCAGAAUGGGGGAAACCCUGAUGCAGCGACGCCGCGUGAGUGAAGAAGUAAUUCGGUAUGUAAAGCUCUAUCAGCAGGGAAGAAAAUGACGGUACCUGACUAAGAAGCCCCGGCUAGCUACGUG
rnacentral:rRNA from 1 species